rnacentral:rRNA from 1 species
GACGAACGCUGGCGGCGUGCUUAACACAUGCAAGUCGAACGGAAAGGCCCUGCUUUUGUGGGGUGCUCGAGUGGCGAACGGGUGAGUAACACGUGAGUAACCUGCCCUUGACUUUGGGAUAACUUCAGGAAACUGGGGCUAAUACCGGAUAGGAGCUCCUGCUGCAUGGUGGGGGUUGGAAAGUUUCGGCGGUUGGGGAUGGACUCGCGGCUUAUCAGCUUGUUGGUGGGGUAGCAGCUUACCAAGGCUUUGACGGGUAGCCGGCCUGAGAGGGUGACCGGCCACAUUGGGACUGAGAUACGGCCCAGACUCCUACGGGAGGCAGCAGUGGGGAAUAUUGCACAAUGGGCGGAAGCCUGAUGCAGCAACGCCGCGUGCGGGAUGACGGCCUUCGGGUUGUAAACCGCUUUCGCCUGUGACGAAGCGUGAGUGACGGUAAUGGGUAAAGAAGCACCGGCUAACUACGUG